rnacentral:lncRNA from 12 species
UGCUGGGGUAAGCAGUAGGUCUCUGGUAAGGCUUCCAGAUUCUUUCUCAGUUCUCUUUCUCUUAUGACGUCAUCAGCAUCCUGGCUGCACCUUCUCUGAGUUUCUCUGAAACUUCUUCUCCAGACAGUGCUCCUGCCUCCCCACCAUACCCAUACAUACUUCUGUAACUCCCUAAUUUAAUAUUCCCUUUUUACAGAGUGUCACAGACAAAAAAUUGUAGGCACGACUUAUCUUGAUUUGCUUGACAAUAAGAGGUACUUUUAACAACUCACACAGGAAGAAUAUCCCAGCUUCAUGAAUACUGACAGAACACUUACUGCUUAACUCAUAGAUCAUCUUGUUGUACAGAACAGUGUUUCUAAAUAGAACUGUGUCCGGAGCUGAAAAACGUCAGCAUGGAAAUCCAGCCCCAGGAGACAGGAGGGAGCGCAGCAGCUCCCCGAGCAGAUGUCCAGGCACAUGGCUAGAAGCCAGAACUCUCCUGUUAAACGCCUCUCGCUGAAUGGGAAAAAUCUGCCUAAAAAUCUGCUUUGUUUAGUUAAUGUUAGUCCUUUUCCCCAGAAAGACGACGAAAAAUAUUACCAUUACUUUAGCUCUGGAGAAGCUUUAAGGGGGUCGUGGAACACAUACUGA